ensembl:lncRNA
CUCUAGUGAAAGUCCAUUUUUCCUGCUCCUUUUUGUUAAUCACAGGAUUCCAUUAUACUGACAAUAAUCUACAGUUAUUCGUAUCUGAACACUGAUCCCCAGUGAAGCCGGGAUGGAGUUAAAAUGCUUGGAAUUUGUUCUCUAUAGUGCUGCUUUUCAUGUUGAGCAAAAAUACAGCACUUAUAAUUUGUUCCCCUGUAGUAUUUGUCAUCUUUUUACCGCUCUCUUAAGAGUGUAAUUCCUGCCCAAUAUUUUCUUUUUAAACUACCUCUCAUUUAAAUACACGCUUUGUGUUUUCUUAAAAUAAACGCUGUCAUGCAGCUCUUCUACUUCCUUUAUUGAGAAAACAGUAAUACUCAUACGAUUGUGGAAAAAAAGUUGAGAGGGAGGGAGAGACAGGGAAAGGAAGCAGAAAUCAUAACCAAAAAGUUCACACUGAUUAUUGAAAUAGUCAGUGCUCCCUUGGGCUGUGGGGAAGGGAAAGGCACUUUUACAGUGUUUUGGAACAUUUUUCUUCCUCGGGAUUCUGACUUUUCACCACAUAUUUAUGCUACGUUGAGAGAGGAGAAGAAAAGAAAAAGAACUCAAAGGUUUUACAGUUUCGAAGCAAAUAAAGGGGAGAUGCUGUUGUGGCUGCAGAGGUGAGCUAUGGACAGCUGGUGGAAGAGAAUCAGGCCCCAUGGUAAAGAGGGAAAGGACGGAGCAGCUCUCUUGUCUGCCAGAAGAUGAACAUUGCAGUGGGCAUACCAUGGGGCCAGACCACCAGCAGAGCAUUAAACAAGGACAGAUGUGAAUGCCAGGAUAAAAAUGAAGACAUUCCUGAAGUGCUUACUGAAGCUGUUGAUGAUAGUAUUUCAGAACUUACAAGUUUUCCUGACCCAGCUUUGAGCAGGUGAUCACACCUCAUAUGCUGUGAUGUGUCUUGAACUGAUGAUUCAGUUAACUUAUUUGGAAACAUAGGAAGUACAACGUUCUCCAGACCUCCAAAAUUCAGCAGUGCUGAGUGUGGAAGACCUGAUGACUUCUACACAGAGUUCCUUUGAGGCUCCAGGAUUAAACAACUCAGUCUUCAGACUAUACGGAGGAGGUUGUAUUUCUGGGGCACCUGUGCCAUGUUGUUCCCCUGUGAACAGCUUUUCCAUAGACAAGUUAACUCCAUGCAGAAACAUCUCAGGACCAUCUUCAUAUAUGAUUCAGUUAAUUUGCAACCUAGAUACAUUUCUGAAAAGUAAUCAAAAUUCAGUCAUAUUCUGAUUCUUUGCAGUUGAUGUUUAAUCAGUGCAAGAAUGUAAUAUUACUCCCACUUGUCUUUGUAUAAAUCUGGAGGAAAUCCACUUAUUUAAGUCGAGUUAGAAGGUAGCUUACGGUCUUUCCAUGGAAUUGGAGUUGAUCCUGCAAGCAUUUAGCUUCACUUUAGCUCCACGAUUUUUUCUGAUGGAAAGAACAGUUCAGGUGCAGACAGUGGGAGUAGAGCAAAAUCAUGUUCUCUAUUACCUACACAUCUCUAAUUUCAAGCUCCAAUUUUUGGAAGCAAAAUUAUUUGGCCCCCCACAUGGUAUCUGUUUCUGGAACUUAUUAUCUGCUUUGUUAAGUUCAGAUGGCAUUCAGAUAAGGAGAAUUUAAUUAGACAUCUCAGUAAUCAUACGUGUAUACUUACUGCCUCAGCAGGGGGUGACUUCUUCAAAACAAACCCCUUCACAUUACUAAGGACAGCAUGUUUUCCCUGAAAGCUUUCAUAUUGUGUGUAUGUACGUGUAUGUCGCCUCCUUUUUCUCUGGAGUUCAUAUCACACAGUGUUUCCUCUUUGAAGAUUUUCAUGUUGUUUGGGAAUAUCUCUAUGUAGAAAAACUUCCUGAUCUUAUGUGUUCCUCUGAGAAAAUGCUCAUUUUACUCUGUUGCUCCACUUUGAAGAUGGCCAUAACAUCGGGGGGUUGAUUCCAAACCAAAACGUUUCUCAAGCCUGGGAGGACAUUUCUCUAAGAUGGUAGGGCAUAUGUGCAGAUGACAUUUCUUUGGGAAUCUGUCCAUUACAGAGGUGUCCUCACUCAACUAUGCUGUUUUGCAGUUUACAGUGUCAUCAUAUUUUCCAUCUGAAAAUCUAGGCAGAAGAGCAUGUUUACAAUAGUUCCGUUAGAAAUAGCUUGAGAAAGUCUUCAGUGGGAGAAACCCAAAAAUUUCCAGGACUUUGGAGGUGAGCCUAUGAAGUACUUGAGGUAAAGAGUUCCUUUACUACCUUAAAUGGAUGAAUGUUUUCCUAACAAACAUACUAAUCAAAAUCAAAAGAAUAGUGUGUUUUAUCUUCUCUUACACUAUUCUUAUACUAAAUUUAUGACUAUGAUAUUGUGGGAAAGAAUGUUUGUAUAACAUGAUAUAGAGCAGACAUCACACAAACUAGUCUAAGCAAAACCACAGUGAUAACGUAUUACUGUUAGCAUAAAUAAGUAGUGAUUAUUAAUUUUAGCCCUAAGCAGUCAAUAUGCAUGUUCUUUGAGUGUGCUUCACUGAGAGCAGUUUUUUGAUACACAAAAAUAUUAAAUUUGCGAAUUGUUUAGAAUUAUUGCUUAGAAACUACUGCCAAAUUGCAAUUAAGCAGUUGUAAGAACACGGCAUAUCCAACUGAGCACCUGCAAAACAACAACAAAAGAUGAAAGUUUUCUGUUUUGGAUAUGUUUGAAGCUGUAGGGGUACCAGUUCUGUAUAAACUCUCCUGUAUGAAAUGACUAUAAUGGAUAAUGCACUGCUUGAACAGAGCUUUUCUAAAACUUGUAUACUCCUAAGAGUAGAGAAUCAGACCUGGGGAUCUAACUUUUUUUUUCUAUAGCAGCCCCAAUCUAACUAGUGGUAUAGAACUGUGAGCUCAUGGUUUCUUAGCAGUGACUUUGGAUUUCUGUGCUGAAAUAAGCCUUGAAACAGGCUGUGUAAUUUUUUUUAAUGGGAAUUAUAGAUACUACAGGUCCAAGGGACAAUAGCUUCCAGCAUAGGCAUAAUUUGAAAACUGGUAGAUGAGUUUGUUUGGAAUUCAUAGUUUCAUUUCACUUGAUCUGCUCAUACAUACACACCAAAAUGUCUAGUGAAGUUUAGAGACUUAAACUGUACUAAAGAUAUAGAAAACUAUCUGAAAACUAUCAAAAUUAUAUAUAAUAAGCAGAGAAACAUUUUCUACUAUACCAUGUACCUUGGAACAAAGUAUUUAAAAAAACCAUAAAAAUAGAACUUCAGUGGGUUGCCAUGUAAAACAUAUUUAUCUGGUAUUCAUACUAUCACAUCCUAUUUAAAUGACUGUCAGGACUUAUAUAUGGGUGAAAUUAUUGGCAACUUGAUUGUUAUUUAACAACUGAGUGAGUCAUAACAAUCAAACUUUAUUAUUUUGUCACUUUAAAGCACAAAUCCUGCUUAUUACAAUUAAAAUGCAGAUAAUUUUCCUGAGGUAUGUGCCAACAUAUGGGUAUUAGUUACAUCCCAGUUGAUUCCUUCCGAGUUAGGAUUCCAUUAAGAGUGACACUUAGAUCUGAUGCUCAUGUUCACUUCCCAGUCACAGUCCUCAGUGUUCAGAUGAGAAUUAACACAGGCAGAAAAACUGACUAGCAAAAACAGUUGCCUGUGACUGUGCUUUACUUUCAGGUCAGCAUCCAACUCGCAGAUCCUCUUUGCUGCAUUUGUGCACUGAGAGGAAACUGGUCAUCAGGCUUAAAGUUUACCCUCACAGACAGAGGUCUGAACACCAGAAACAUGCAAGAAGCCAGUGGUAGGAGUCAGAAUGUGAGCACCCUGAAACACUGGAUCCUGCUCCUAGAUGGUCCACAAGUGAGCAGAGCAUCAGCACAUAUGGUUGGAGCACUUGCAUUUUCUUUAUGAAAACAGUGUGUUGUCCACUGACUUCUACACAUCCUUCAGUGGGAUUUUCAAGGGCUCUGAGGAGUGAGCAGGCUCCACAUCUCGCUAAUGUGAGCAGAAGAACAUGCCAGGAGACAUACAAGUGUCAUUCUUUGCACCAUCUUAACAUCUGCGGCACUCACUGAGCCAAGAGUUGUGUGCGUUGCAGCAGAAGACUGAAUUAUGGUCUGCCAGUGGUGCAGUAUCUCUGGCUUAGGCACACUCAGUUGCAAAAACUAGCAAUGUUCAAGCUGUUUGACUUUGGCAUAGCAUUAACAAAGAUAGAGAUGCCAAUAGCUGUAGAGAAAGGGGUGAGAAUUAUGAUUUAGGUCAGUAAAAUAAACACUGUUAUCGUGGCAGGCUAAUCUCAUCCAAGAAACUCUUUACUUGUUAUUUCCCUGGCUUUUUGUAACUAUCAGAAAAAAUGCCAGCAGUUCUGUCUACAGAGCUCACAGUCCACUUCUUUUCUGAAGUCACUCAGCAAAAGGAGAGAGAGGACAUUCCCUCACAUCAUUUGAAUAACUUUAUUUUUUCCAUCUGUAAUCUUUUCCUCUUCAGUAGAAAUGAGGGUGGUUCCAAUGCCUCCCUGAAGGUAUGGUAUCUUCUUGCGAAGCUCCCUGAGAACCAGGAACAAGGAGCUGUCACAGCAGCAAGAUACAAGUCUUGGCUAAAACUUGGACGUCCAAAUCUUGGAGUGAAGGAACUUAUCACAGAAAACUACCACCACAAUAUGCCAGGUAGUCUAUAACAGGAGCAGUCUCUAGGAGAUAAAAAACAUCUUUUUUUUUUUUGGAGAGGUACUGAAGUUCUACUUAUGGGCAUUUACAUAACUCAUGUACUCCCUAUGCGUAGUUAGUGAGUGGAACCAUCUUCCUGCAGCUCUACUCUACUACUUAGUUAUCUACAGGGGAAAGAAAAAAAGAAAAAAGCUCAGUACAGUAUGAAUUUAUUACUGAAUGUGUUUCUUAGCAUGUAAAAAAUAUUGAAUUAACAUUAAAACCCUUUUAUCCACUUUGUAAUAUUUGGAUGUAAAUUGUUACAAGUGCAUGAUAUGUUAAAUCCAUAAUUGUCAUAUUUUGCUGAAGACUGCAUAGAAUCAGUGAGGAUUUUCUUUUGUCUAAUAUUGGAGAGAUGGUUCAUGUUGGUGACAUGAAGAAAAUAUAAAAAAGCAGUUUAUCCAUGUAAACAUAUAGCCCUCAGACUCUUGCCAAUGACAGCAAGACCUAUUUUUAUCUGGUGAAUGAGUCUUGGUCCCAUAUGCUAAGAGUUGCUUAGGGAAGCUAUAUGUUACAUAUCUAACUUCUCCUAAUUAAAUUUAAAUGCUACCUGAAAUUUGAUGCAAAGUAAACCAUAAUUUAGUGAUUAAAACUUUGGUAUACUGACUAGUUAUGACAACCAGAAAGGACUGCUAAGAGAUUAGGAAAAAGGGGGAGGGGAUAGAGUUUAAUCAGAACAAACACUAGCAAGAAACACAAUUUUAAUGGUUUUACAAAAUCAAUUUUCCAGUAAUAGUGAUAUGUUAUUUCAAAAUUAUUUUAAAGGAUGGGAGAAAGUUUAACCAUGUGACUUUAUCUUUUUCAGUGGUCUUUCUUAUUUGAUAUUGCAGGGAUUGGAUUUCACUGGGACACAUCCCAUUUCCACUGUAAUUUGUAAACUAAUGUUUUGUUUCUUCAGAAGGUGUGUUCCCAAACAAGUGCUUGCCAUCGUUAAGAAGUUGCCUCUUGUCCAAUUGUUUUCCAAUUGUUUGAUGGUAUUAAUGGGAGCAAAAAGAACAUUCAAGAUACCUUCUUGGUAUUUCUCUGUAUUUGGGGUAGUUGCUAAGAGAAUGCCCUCACAGCUGAGAGAAAAACCUAUUUGCAUCCCAUUCUGAAUGGCAGGGUUGUAACUUGGAGAGGUGGCCCAGAGUUAGAAAAUACUCAUCAUGAUACUGCCCAUAUUCAUGAGCAGAGGUGAACAGCUACUUUUUAAGCACACCUAAAAAUAAACCUUGCUUUCUGACAAAGACAGUCAUUGAUUGCUCCGUGAGCUGAAAAGGGUUUUUUGAGUGACUCCUUGCUUCAUUUCUACUCGGCUGUAAAUUGGAUUUGCUCAUUGAUUUUCUUUUCUUUUUUGUUGUUUAUUUAUUUUGUGGGGUUUUUUUGGUUGUUUAGUUUUGUAAAGGGGAAGUAUGGGAGAAAAUGUAUGUUUGGCCUGUAUGUCUCAGCUGAUGUGUAAUCUCCUUUAGCUGUUUUUGCUGGGAUGGAGCUUUGGCACAAAGGGCGUAACCUCAUGGACUCUGCUUAUGCCUAGUCAUUCCAGGACCAGUUGACUGCCAGUUUUCCAGAAGAAAUGAGGAAAUAGUUGUCUAUAAAUACAUUCCUCCUUUAUUCUGUGAGUUAUUUACAAACCUGACUUAUUUUCUUAGGUAUUUCUGCAAAAAUAUGAGGCAACUCUCUGUCAGUAGGUUGUCUGUAAGUAAUCCACUGCUAGUGAUCCAAAAUUAAAAUUGACUAGGUAAGAGCAAUUCUCAGGAUAAUCUUUCUGAUAAAAAGUCCUUCAAGUUAGAAAUUUAGGAAACGAUCUCUGAUAAUAUCUUUCAAAAUUUGCUUAACAUAAGCAGAUUUUAUGAGCUGGCUUUUCUGAGAACACAAAUAGUUUGAACAGAAUCAUAGCAGAAGAGUUUAAAAUCAUGAGCAAGUAUUCAUAGAACACUUUUAUUUUUUCUUGGGGCAGUUGCCUGGUCUUGCUUUCCUAGGUGAUGGUUAACUGUCCAUCCUCACCAAGGAACAGUACUGGAAACCUGCUGAUUCUCUUUUCACAGUUCUUGGAUAUGCAAUUUCACACAUAGAAAAGAAAAAUUGUGUGAAAUGUUGUAACUGACAUUGUCAGUCAGCAGGAAACCUGAAAAGAGAUAUUGAGAUUGAGCUGUGAAAAGUGACAGUAGUGGAGCAGUACAUUUUUAUGUGAUAGAUAGAGCUGUAGGGCGCAGGUCAUUGCAGCUUGCAAGGGGCAAUCUUUGUGUUACUGAUAUCCCCAAGGCUGCAAAGGCUGAGUGCCAUGCUUGGAGAGCUGACGGGCAAUUUGCUAAUAUAGCAAUCUGAACACAAGAAGAACCAGCAUAAAUGUGAGGGGCAAAAAACCACACAGAGUAUAUGUAUUAUACAGAUGUAUUGUACCCUUUUUUGCUUAUUCAAGUAGCAUACAGUGGAUAUUUGGAAAAAAAAAAAAUGUUGUAACAAAUCUAGGAAGUCACAAAGAUUUUUAAAUUGGAAAGUUUUACUUCUGAAAACUAACACUGUCUUAUGUUAAAUCACUCUUGUUUGAUCAAUAGCACUGCACAAAUUCUACAUCUGCAUACUUUCUCAGGUUUUUUGCAUGCACUAGACAGUAACCCUUAAAAACUGAAAGGGCUAGAAAGUACCUUCUCCCAAGUACCUUCCCAUUUCAGGAGCAGCACUUAGAGAGCUUUUUGUUUCCUUUGUUGUUCUGUAGCUUUCUAAGUCUGAAUAUGAGGUGUACCUUUCCUAAAUAUUUUUCGCUGAAUGUGUGACUCAAAGUUUGUAUAAAAAGAAAAUCGUAAUAAUAGUAACAGUGAAUAAGAAAUAAAAUCAUGUUCAGCUUUAAUGUGCAAUUCAAAUGAAAUCAUGUUGAUUUUGUUUGAUUUCUCUUUGCAUCUUUUCAUGUUUGAAAAGAUGUUCAUGUUUCACAUUUGAUAUAUGUCCCAUUUUGUCACCAUUAGAAUAAAAUAUUUUGAUUUUUUUCCUUUUCAAAUUAUUUUUCAUUUUGAAUAUUUUGAACUCUAGUAUGUAAUAGAUGAUUACAUUGCAAACACAUUAUGUUGCACUUAAAACUCGAGUCAGUGUGCAGUAUUCCUGCCAUUUUCCUUUACAAAGAAUUUAGAUAUUUUCUGAUUGGAAAUGAAGACAAAUUUGGAAACUUCAGGAACAGUUGGGGAAGGAAAAAAAAAAUUGUCUGUUUUACUGUCCAGACUUGUCUGGACCACUUCCACAGAUGGUGAUGCCAAGUGGUUCAUCAACCUCUUGCUCUGAAAGUAUUGUUUCUACACUGCACUUCAGUCUAUGACUUAUGUUAUUCCUGGCAUUAUGCACUUCAAUUUCUCCCAUGCUGAAUCUUUUAUAUUAGUAUAGAAUUAAGAUAAUAAGAAUAAUUGCUCCUUUUUAAUAACACUUCAUGUGUUUAUGAACAGUCAUACGCACAAGGAUUAUUUUCCAAAUCAUUGCUCAUUUUUGUUGUUCUCUUCUGAGUUCUUCAAUUAGUAUGUAUUUCUUUUUUUACUGUGGUGUUUGUAACAGCAUGCAGUGCUCCAACUGAGGCUUAUCAAGUGAAGUAGAGCAGAAUAAUUACUUCAUUUCUUUUAUGCGUGACAUUCUUAUUAAUGUGACUCAAUACAGAGCAUUUGCCUUGUUUUGCCACAGUGUUGCAUUGUUGAUUCGUAUUCAAAUAAUUAGUCACUGUAAAUCCACAUGCUGCUCUGCUGUGUAACUCUGUGCUCUAGGAUGGGCUAUCCCACAGCUGUCAACAGGAGCACCCAGGAGCUGCAGUGAGGGUGUUGGACACUGUACAAAAGAGGAGCAGGUAAAUGACUUUUCUUAACCAGACUGCUAAGCUCCAUACUCAUUUGUGAUUACUGGUUUACAGUAUUAUAAGUAUAUUCCAGUUGUAAGUGAUUUCAGACUGCUGUCUCCAGUGUAUAAUACCUCAUCAUUUGUCAUGUUCCUUUUUCAAAAAUGAGGAUUCGCCCAUUCUUUCCACUUACAUAUUCUCCAGAAGAUGUAGUAACUUUUUUUAUAGUGAAAACUACUUGUUUUUCUAAAAAUCUUUCUGAUAACUUCAGUGAGAUCUGUACACCUGGGGUUGUUUUGCUAUUUAAAGAUACUCAGAAAUAGAUCAGACUUACUUCCCCCCCCCCCCCCCCCAAAAAAAAAAAAAUUGUCUAAAAAUUGAAUCUGUGAGUAGCAUAUCAAAUUUGGAUGCUUAUACCUAAAGGAUCUCCAUUUCUUCCUGCCUUCUCUUCUGAGAAGAGUUGAAGUACUUACAGUGCUGUUUGAACCCAGGACAUAGAGCUUGGAAAAAAAAUGCAAGCCAUUGUGUCAUAGAAUUUUUAUCUGGCAAUAUUACAAGCCAGAAUUUUCAAGCUGAUUUGAAGAAAAACAAGGUGAAAAGUCUAUUGGGUCACACUUGAAAAUGUUAAGUAUUUUAGAGUCGUUUCAAAAUCCUGGAAAUUAAGUACUUCACAUCUACAAAGUUAACUGGUUUACUAAGUAUAAUGUCAUUUAUACAGUUUGCAAAGUCUGAAUACACAUACAAUAGUAAGAAAACUGUACCAAAACCAUGUUAAGAGAAUUUGAUGUGUGGCAGAUUUGAGUUAGUAGGUACAAUGUGUUCUAUGAUUGGAAAGAAAAAUGGCAGACACACUUUCAAUGUGUUAGAAAGUAGAUGAAGACUCCUCUGAGACCAUGAAUCCCAAUGGAAACACUGCUGAUCUAAAGAUCAUAGAAAGAUAGAACCAGGUCACAUGCUGAUGCAAAUGAGCAUAGUUUUCUUGACAUUGGUGGACCUACAGUGAUUGAUUCCAGAUGAAGUGAUGAGAUGAUUCGGAUGUGCUAUGCCCUCCUGAAAGGCUGUUGAGAGAUGCUGAGAUCAGUGCUGGGAUUGCCUCACCAGAGGAAAAUACGCAGAGUAACAAUCUCUCCUUUAAAAAAAUGUGAGAAGGAAGAAAGUAAUAGUAUCUCUCCCAGUGUUGAUGGAAAAAGUAGGCUUUGGUGGAAAGAAAAAUAGUUCAGUAGUCAAGAUUUUGGAAGGAAGGCAGUAAAGACUUUUCCUAAGGAAAAGAGAGCACCAGAAAGCUUUAGAGGUUCCCUGUUCUCACCAUCUUCAGAACAGCUCUGUGUGUAUUUACCCUUACUCUUCUUUAGGUGGUCACUGAGGUUUGACUCAUUGAGUACUCCAGUGUGUUUGCCUGGAAGCAGGAGAAAGAUGGAGAAUCUAAAGGCAUCCUGGUUACAGCAGCAGCAUGACUGAAUCAGCUUUAAUGACUGGCUGAAGCUAGCACUGUAUCUAUGCAUCCAGCGUGGGCUGCAACACAGAGUGACAAUUCAGGCAGAAGCUGGUUUGGGCUGAGUUUUAUGGUGUUGUGGCUAGCAAAGUAGCUAAGCUAGCUCACCAAUGCUCUCCCAAGUUAUUUUUUGUCUUAACAAUACAGGUAGGCCCAAGCAUGAUACCCUUCAGUGGUUCAAGAACUAUCUAAAAUAUUUAAACAUUUUGAGAUGUUCUUCUUCUGGAUGUGAAAGUAAAAAGAAGACUUUGGCUCUGGAAGCCUUGCAACAUUUGAAGUAAAUCACUCCUUAUGGCAGUAUCAAAAUCCGAAGAUGCAGGGAUUUUGAAGACUUAUCUAUGGAUUCAAUAAAAUCUAAAAGCAGAUGUUUAGUAACGUGAGUAUUUUUCCUAGAUCAUCAGUAGCAGUAUUUAGAGGCAUUGCAGAGCUUUGACCAUUGAAUUCAUCAUAGCGAGCUGCAACCUGCUGUAAGUACUGCUCUUGCAUUUGUCUAUCAAAAGAGAAAAUAUAAGACUAUUUUCAUUUCAUACAAGACUAUUAAUAUUGAAACCACUGACGAGUAGACUACUCAAUUAAGGAUAUAUUAACUAGGUUACUUUAUCUCACUCUUAUUUUCAAGAGUCAACAAUCCAAGUACAAGGAGACUAAUGACUAAAGAUUCAGCCUCUUCUGAACAACUGAUGGAGUUCUGUUCCUGAGCUACCUCCUCCUCGAUUCAUUCAGCAUGAAUGGCAGAUUCCUAUAUCGUGUCAAGUUUCAGAUCACCAUAGAAACAAACUAGGAGGCAGUUUCAUUAAUCAUUUAGAGCACAAGAAGUCUAGGUCAGUCUGAUUGCAGCAUAUAGAGUAUCAUCCUAGCGCCACAUGGGACUCAGUUGAUUUGAAUUAAAAAAGAUUAAGCUGCCCCUAGGACGCUCAGCAUCAUCAGUUUAAGUUCUCAUGUAACAGUGGUCUCUGGAGCCACAUGGAUUAGGAGACUGAAGCUAUGCAUUUAUUUUUCAGGGCUCAGUGAAACAUUAGAUGAGUGCAGGUGUCUGAGGGGAAAAAAGGACAAAGAUCACAUAUAGUUUUUUAGACUUGUUGCUGUUCUUUUGAAACUGGAAACAAUAACUCAGUUUUAUUUCUCCAGUGACAGUUACCACUCUUUUUUGGCAAUGCAGUGGUACAUCUGUUACCCAAUGUUUACAACUUAGAUUUAUAACAAUUUCAUACUAGGCACCCUAAUUUUAGUGCAGAGCUGCAAGUUGGGCAUAGAACAGUUUACAUGAAUGCUGACUAUUUUUUUCAUGAUGGAGUAAAAAAUGCACAAAAUAAAUACUGGUGACACUUUAGUUUUACUUGAAUGAAGAUUUAUUGCUCCCAGGAAACUUACUUACAGGCAGCUACAAAUCAACUUGACUAUGAAAUAGCUGUAUAUGUACACCACAAAAUGAGCCCCCCCUCCCAAAGUACUCACCUUAUUUAUGGGUCUUUCCAGUACUUCAAAGACCUUUAGUAACUUAGUCCAGACUGGUUUAUUGCUUCAUAGAACUAAGACGUUUCAAGAGGAAAGUCGUAGGUUACAGUGUAUUAGGACUCUCUCUUGGGCGGCUGAGAAUCCCAUGAUGCUAUAUGAACUGUUGAUCUAAAGCUUAUUAUAGCCUCACUUCCUACAGUAUAAUUCUUAAAUCUUUUAAGUUAUACAGUGCUGUCUUUAAUCCUGAGCACUAAACCUUAAAGCAGAACUAGUUUUCUAAUAACCAGAGUACCAUCUGUGAGUAGAUAUAAUUAUGCUUUGUAAAAAUACAGUUCACUUGCUUGCACAGGUGGUCCACGACCUAUUUCAAAUUAUUUGAAUUUUCAACAAAUGUUUUACAUAGAAAAAUCUGGGAGCAAAAUCCACUGUCCCAGUGUUCUUUGUGGAGGAAAAAAAUGUAUGUGGGUAGAUGUAUUCCACUUUACUCAAGAACCAGAACACCUCACCCUUUGUGUUUUUCCAAUUUGCCCUUUCUGUGGGAAGUGGUUUUUAUCUGGGCUUUGAUAGUAUCAGUGUAUCAGUGGUGAAGUCUCCCGUUAUGUAACACAUCUAUGGACAUGGAAAUAUAGUAAAUACUUUUUUUUUCCCCCCCUGAUAUGUUGUCAUUUUUAAAUGUGUUAUUCUAGGGAUUUCCGGGGAAGAAAUAACAUUAUGCUCUGGAAGUAUUUUUAGAUUUUUCUAGCACUGUGCAAACUGACUGAUUAUUCCCCUGGGAAGGGGAAAGUGAGUAUUAUCCCCACUUUGCACGAGCGGAAAUUGAUAUGGAGUCACACUAAGCAACUUGCCUCAGGCCAUGAAGGUAAACAGGGACCAACACUGUGGUGCUCCCAUUCUCCUGCCCCGUGCCCUGCCCAGGCCCUGCUAUUUACAGCUUGCUGUCAAAUGCCCUUAAGGAAAUGCAGAAUAUAGGAAUUAAAGCAAACACAUAAAGCCCUGACGGGAGGCAGAAAAUGUUGUGUUAUCUAAUAUUUAUUGAGUGUCAGCAUUAUGCUGGUUGCUACACAAACAUAAAAGAAAGCGUGGUCCCUAUGCCAGAAUGUAUGUACGUUCUACUUUGUGUUGUCACCCAGAUGUUUCCAACCAGGCUGCCUAGCUUUGCUGUCCCUUUCUGGUGCGUGAGAGAGCUGAACUCACUAGUGCCAGGGGGAUAGCUGUGGCAGACAACCGGCAAUGGUGAGGGGGUCCAGGCUGUGCAUUUGCUGAGUUCCUGCAAACCACCUGGGUGAGUGACUGUCACCACACCCACAGGGAAAUGGUCUUUGUAAAAAGAGCCAUGGGGCUGAAAAGCAGGGAAUGACUUCUUUCAGCUGAAUACACGUCCUCACCCUCCUGGGGAGCAUGGGCAGACCUGUGAAGCCCCAUUUUUCUCCCAGGCUCUUUCCACCUGGAGGAGGAUGCAGUGAGUCUGCAAUGAUACACAAGUCCAUGUGGGAUCCCUGAUCUCUUCUGCUGCUCAAAGCCACAAGGGAGGAGAUAUCUUCUGCGUAGCCUGUUUCCAACAGGUGAUGUGCAUUUGGGCAGCUGUCAUGUCAUGCCUGGAAUGUGAUGAAAACAAGAGGUCCUGACUGCUCACCACUGAGGAGCUCCCAGAGCACUUCUCACAGGAGCAGGGGUGUUAACCCUGAUAUCCUGGUCAAAUUCCAACAAGGCUAAUUAUAUCCCACUUACCUAAAACUCUGCCAUGCUUUCCCUGCUUGCUGCAAGGUCUUGCUAUGUGAAACAGGCUCUCUUCUGAUCUUAUUAAACACUAUGGUCUUCCGCGUCAGAUGGGGAUAUAUUUAGGGGACAGCUAAAGUUAGGUCUCAGGUUGAUAUAUUUCUUGUCCAGCGCAGUAAUGCUGGACGUAAACCGACAUUGUUUGCAGAAAGAAGAGUCUGCAUUGCAAGUGUAGUUAAGAACAGCCACUUGCAAGCAAUGGUAAUGGCCAUAGUAACAGUAUCCAUUGAGUUCCUGUAUCCGGCCUUCUGCCUGAUGGACAUUAAGAGCAGGAUCAGUGUGGGUGGGGGCUGAACACUGAACAAAAGUGUGGGGGAAGAGUGGCACAGGUGACUGUUCCCUGGCAGUGAGAUCAAGGUGCCCAAGGGGGAGGCAGAAGGGGCUGUGCUUCUUUCUGAGUCUGCUUCAAGUGCACUACACUAUAUUGAGGAUGCUUGUGACAGUGUAGCCAUUGAAGACCCUAUAGUAUGUGAAUUUCCUGAGGAUCUCAGGCCUAUGAAGUGGUACUAAGAGAUUAUUUUAGCUUUGCAAAGGUGCUGUGAUAUCAAGCAACGGGGAAAAAAAUAUGUGUUUAUAGUUUUGACUAAAGAGUAAAUUAUCAAAGAUGACAUUGAAGUUGCCAUAUUGCAUCUUAUUAUUUGUUUUUAAAGACUGUAGAUGUGGUGUGUAAUGCUGCUGAAAUGGCCACAUGAUAAUCCCAGUGAGGCUUUUUGCUUCUUGUUUAGAAAUAAAUAUUUCCAGGAGGAAAACAAAUCAUGUAAAUGCACCUCUGCCCCUUUAUCUACUGGAAUCUCAUCUAUCUCAUUAUCUUUUCGGUACAAGCUGCCACCAAAAUAUCUUCGAAAUGAACAGAUGUUACAGGUUUAGCUGGAAUUGCCCAAAGCAGAUGUAAGAGUGGAUACCAUUCUUACUGUUGUUUCUUAUCUCUUUGCCCGCAAAUCAAAGUUGCAUCUUUGUCUGCAAAGGUUCCUGUUGAUAUGUGAGUCAGCAAAGCCAUCUCCUUAUAGCUCACCUUGCAUGGCAGAGCCCUACAUUCACAGAUUUUCUUCUCCAUGAUACACAUGCAUGCGUAUGCACACAAACACACACACACACACACACACACAUACACAUAUGUGUUUACACACAUAUUGUUAAGUUGUUGGUAGCACAGCGGUGCUGUUACCUAGUAGAAUUAUUUCAGAUUGCUUCAAAUUUUUAGUUGAAUAGAUGACAGUAGGAUAUGUAUUAGAUAAAUUAAAUGUGUUGGUGUUCACACAAGUAUAUGCACUUGAAGCUAUUUUUGUUUUUUGAAGACAAGUGCCUUUAGCACAACUAGCAACCUUCAAAAAUGUGAAUAAGGGCACAGAGUCUUAAAAGCCUCUUCCUGUCUACUGUGUCUCCCCAGACAGGCUGAGGCCACAUUAAUGGAAAAAGCACAAAGUGAACAAGAUGACCUAACAGAUGCUACCAGGAUGUACUGUACUUUUCCUAAGAUAAAUAAAGCCUGUCAUUUUCAGCAGUAUCAGCAAACCCCACAUAUUCUUUACAGUGUAAUAAAAUAUAGCAUUAUAGUGUUCCAAAUUGCUUUGUAAGUCCAUAUUCUUUUAAAUAUUAUUGGUUCUCCUUAUUCUGUUUAACAUACUUAAAUAUUAAUUACAUGAGUAUGGCAUAAAAUAUCCAUCAAUCUAGCUCAUUUUCACUGUCUUAAAUGGGAGCUUAGAGUAAAAAAAAAAAAAACAGCAUAUAAAGUAAACUCUGAACUAUGGCAAUUUAGAACCUCAGAUUUCGGACUUAUAAGCUGCUUUUAUUCAGCAGCAAAAUUACUCCAAAUGACUUUGAGUUUCUGUAAAAAAAAAAAAAAACUACAGCAACACUAAGGCACUCAAUUUCUGCAAGGACUCACAGAUUUAUCAUCUCAGAACUAUAAAAGAGCUGGGGAAAAGAAACUCUCCCUUCACUAAAGAUGAAUUUGUAUUUCUUUUUUUACUGUAGAUAGGUUUGUACAUCAGAUGAAUGAAUCUUAAAAUUUCUCUGAGGAGAGAAAGAUUUCUCUCAGGUUAACAGAUGCCACACCAGUUUGCUCAGACAUGUGCAGCACACAAAUUCUGGACAAAAUUUCUGACUAUUCUUAUUCCAGCAGAGCCAGUUUGCAGUUUCUCAAACCAAUCAGCAAAGCAGAAUUUUCCUACCCCUAGAGAUAGGUUUUGUUUUGAAAGAAAUCAUUCUUGCAAUGGAAGAUGGCUUUGCACCCAUCUUCCCUGCCUCUAUCUAGCCUUUCUGUCCUUGAAACCUUGUCCUUUCCACAGAAGCACAGAGCUAGUUGUAUAAACUGGCAGCUCAUAUCUAUCUCUGUGUCCACAUGGAAGUAGGUCAUUUUUUGCUUUUUCUUAAAGACUGUUGCUUUCAGCAGCAUUAUUUUUUUUACAAUCAGUAUAGUGCUGCCUCCAGCACCUUGUUUCUGGGAGUGACAAGCUGCCCUAAGCCUAAUAAAUGCUCAUAAUGAGUGGUUAUAGAAAACUAGUUUCAAACAGGAGGUUCUUUCCAUAGCAAAGACUCAGCUCUGCAGUGUGUCCUGCACAGCCUGAGCUAUCCCAUAAUACUUGGAUCAUCAUUAAGCCACUGAAUGUUACAAAGGACUGUUAGCCAGAGGAGCUCAUUGUUUCAUAUGACUGCUUUUAUAUCAAUUUUUUUUCCUGUCUAACAUAAUUGUGUUAUUAUUCUUAUAUAUUUCUAAUCCUAUUUGAAUCCUGUUCUGCUCUUGAUCAUUCCUGAUCUCACCUGGAAAAUGGGUAAUUGUCACUGUUUGUCUUACUAGCAAGAUAUUUAUCUAGGCUUUUCCAAUUAUCUGCUGAUAUUUCCCUUAUGUAAUGGGAAACAUGAAGUCAUCUGAUACCAAAGUUUGAGUAAAUCUAGUUCAUGUUGAAAUUGCCUCAAAUGGUACCAGUGACAAAAUCAAGAUCAUAGUAUGCAAUAUUCUGCUGAGAGUUUAAAACAGCAAUUUUGAAGAAGACAUCUACAUCCCAAGUUCUGGGUCAAGAAAUAGAGCUAUGUAUAUGCCAUUUGAAGCAUGAACCUCCACAGUGCAUUACGAUUCUUCCAUCUUGAUACAGAAUGCUACCUGAGCUGUUCUACUGUAUCAGAUGAAAAUCAAUAAGGAAUUGCAGAUCUAUAAAAAUAGACAUCUGAGUGGUAUAGAAGACUAUACCACAGAAGAUGGAUUCAUUUUCAGUUUUGUCAUGUUUCUCUUCUGUACUUCCAUAAUCAGAAAUGCAUUACUUCAACAGAAUGCUUAAAAAUUCAUACAUGUGACAUAAUGCUUCACUGAACUUUAAGAUGUCAGUUUGGAAAAAGAAAGAUGGAAAAUUUGGACUUCGUAUUUUAAACAGUUUCCUUACAAUAAACUUUUCUGGUCUGCUGAGUCUUGUCCCAAGUGGAAUUGGUGAGAUACAUCCUCAAGAGGACAGUUAGACUGUUGAAAACACUUGGAAAUAUCUCCUGGUUAUGUCUUAUUUAUAGAAGUCAACUGAGAGACAUGUGGUGUUCUGUCAUAUUGCUCUUCCAAGAGCCUCAUAUUUAUUAUUCUCAGUUGGCAAAAGUGUCCUUGUUUGAAGUUGUACAAGUUAAUCUCUGCCAGUUUAGCCCAAGAGCACAAGAUCACUUUCAAACUGCUUUUCCAUAUUCCCGCUUUUAAGACAUCACCUUCAUCACGUGAUAUGUCUUCUUUUCUGUAGAUGUGUGACGUGCAAAGCAAUUUAAUGCAGCACAUAGCAUCUAUGACAUCAGAACCAUUCCCUGCCAGCACUUUAACAAGAUUCCAUUUUGCAUGUCCAGCUUCAGGACUUUCCGAGGGCUCUGUUGCUUUAAGAUACAGAAGACUGGUUCAGACCUUCACAAGAAGCUGUCAGCAGAGUUUGCAAUGUCCUGCAAGCCUUGAAUUGCAUGUAGGAUUUUGUAUUGGCUCAGUAUUACUUACAGUGUUUUGCUGUUUGUGAUUAGGUUUGCAGGAAGGCUGACUGCGGAGUUCUGAUCUGGAUUUCUCCAAAGUGUUUGGGUCUGUUCUGGGCUGCAGCAUGCUGUAGUCAGCAUUUGUUCAUAUAAACAUCUGUAAAACAUUUGGCAUUACUUGAAAAUAUUAGUCACAAUUGUAAAACUAAUAAAAAUCCUUCUUUCUUAUUUUAACUAUAAGGUGGUCAUAUAUGCUGGGCACUCAUCAUUGAUUUAGAUGUUAUCUCUCUGCUAGUAACAUUUUUGCUGUGCUUGCUCCAAAGGCUGCAUUUUUGAUCUGGGAGCAAUUCUCAGCUAAGAAAAUUCAUUCAACUGAAGCUCUGUGCCAGAACUUGGAGGACUUGCAGUUGAUUUACAUCCAGGUGCUCUAUACCAAUUUGUACCAAUUCUCAAACCUCUCUGACAAACUCCACGGUAGAUUUUCAGCAUGCCCUAAUAAGCAGCACUUUCUUAUGCAAAGGGAGGCUCCUCAGAUGAUCACUCAGACUAUAAUAAAGAUGAGGACUUUGUAUAGAUAUUUUAAACACUCUAAACGAAAGGUAUUAGCAAAGUGUUGUGAAAUAAGGGCUUCACUAUAUGAAUUACUUACCUCUGAAAUGCAGUGUUAUUGUAGCAAAUUAACUAAAUCCAGAGGCACUUUCCCCUGCAGAUAUAUGCCUACAGUUGUGUCUAAAUGCAAUGCAGGAUGAAUAAAGUCCUGAGUGCCAUGUGGUAAAAAGCACUUUUCAUGUGGCAUAAGCACUUCAACCCAUGAAUUUGCAAUUAAAAUGAAUUUCAAGAGGCAUUUUACUGAGAUUACGUAAUGUAUUUGUUAAGUAUAUGCCAAAUAUUCACUGCUCAUUGGGCUUUCUGAGUCAGAAAAUUCUGUGUAUACUUUCCUUUACUAUGGACUAAAUAAGGAGCAACCACUUCUUAUCUGCUGCGGCUUGAAACAGAGAGUCAGAUAUUAUGAUUUGGCAACUUGUCAUGCUGAAACAACUCAGUCAUACAGCCACAGCCUGAGGGUGUAUACCUCCAUAACUGGAAUUUGCUGACAAAUUAUGAGAACACCCCUCAUAUGGACACUGCUCAUGCUUCAGACUAAAAUAUACAACACAAUUUAUAUAUGACAGCAUAUAUAUGACAUGCUUUUGCAUAGUCUUGCUACGUUUUCCAAAAUGUCUCAAUUUUCAGGUUACAGACUGUGACCCACUUCAAGUUCUUGCUGGGUAAAGCCAGAAGUUCUCUUUGUGUGUGUGUAAUCUUGUAAAAAUUGAUUCACAUUGGCCUGUUUCAACUUCAGAAGUCAGUCAGCAGGAAUGGCACCUCUAGUUCCCAGGAAGCAGAGAAGAGCUGAUGCUGUGUCCUUGAAAAUUUGCCCUGUAUGCCCAUCAGUGAUGGUGCGUGGCUGUGCUGAGCGCUUCAGUAACAGAGCUUUUUUCCCAAGUAUGGCUAUGAUGUCUUUGUUUAUAGAAUACUUUUCUAAACCAGGUUCAGCAUCAUGCCUACAAAAUUAGUAAUCACAUUUUUGGCAAGUAUUAGGUCAUACUAUCUGCAGAUUGUUCAUAGCUUGUUUAGGACUAAAUAAAAUUUGCUCUUUGUUCUG